rnacentral:lncRNA from 1 species
AAACACACUGACAACAUGAAGGCCCUCUUCCUCAUAGGACUGCUUGCUCUGGUAGCGAGCACCGCCUUUGCGCAAUAUAGCGAAGUUGUUGGCAGUUACGAUGUUGCUGGCGGGGGUGGUGCUCAACAAUGCCCUGUAGAGACAAAGCUAAAUUCAUGCAGGAAUUACCUGCUAGAUCGAUGCUCAACGAUGAAGGAUUUCCCGGUCACCUGGCGUUGGUGGAAAUGGUGGAAGGGAGGUUGUCAAGAGCUCCUUGGGGAGUGUUGCAGUCGGCUCGGCCAAAUGCCACCGCAAUGCCGCUGCAACAUCAUCCAGGGGUCAAUCCAAGGCGAUCUCGGUGGCAUCUUCGGAUUUCAGCGUGAUCGGGCAAGCAAAGUGAUAC